GCACCGGGGGUGGACCGCCCCCCACCCCUCCUUAGUAAACCACUGCUAAGAUGGGCAAAUAGUAGAUCCACAGCUUUUUUCCAUCCUUGCGAUAGAGUUCUGACUCUGCAUUAGGUAAUUGUGGGUAAGUGUUUCUCCUGAAUGUUGCCCUUCCUUUUGAAUUAAAUGACAGAGUGACAGUGUUCAUUCUUAUAAUAAAUUUCUUCCCCUGGAAACAUUUUUUGGACAUCCCUGCGUCAAUAUUGAGGUUAAUUCACUGAAAUAUAGCGAAAGGGUGAAUGAUAAAUCUUGGCUACAGAAGCCAUAACUGGAGAAUUUGGUCAAUCAGUUUUAAUUCUGUUUUCAAUUGAUUAGAGUUUGGUGUUCAGUAAAUCUGUUCACAGAAAGAGCACAAUAGUAAGCAGGGUAGACAAAAUGUUUCAGGAAUAUCAUAGUAACACCUUUACACUGUGGCAAUUAUCUCUGCCACCAAACGUAUGAUUUGGUUGGAACCAUGUAUCAGCAAUCAAAAAAUGUUGAAAUCCAAUUAUAAAGUUAAUAUUAACAAAAACACAUUGCUAGUGAUCAGCAUCUCCCCAGAGAAACACACGUGUGAUGUCACCCGCUCACACCUUUCUCCUCCUCCCUGGUCUUCCUCUGUUCUUGGCCUACCUGCACACCAGUUCCAAAAAUGAACAGAACAAGACAGGGCUGCCAUCAGAAACUCAAGGUCUGGGCCACAGGGCGGCCCCCGAGUCCACCCGCAUGGAUGCAGUGUGUGUACUGAUUGUGGUGUGUGUAUAGUGGAUGUAGACAGUGUGUAGUGGAUGCAGAGUGCGUGUGUAAAGUGUAUGCAGAUUGCACAUUUGUGUAAUGUAUGAGGUGUAUUAGAUGCAGAGUGUGUGUUUGUGCAGUGGGUGUAGUGUGUGUAUACUGAAUGUGGAGUGUGUGUGUUUGUGUAGUGGAUGUAGUGUUUGUGUGUAUUAGAUGUGGUGUGUGUAUAGUGAAUGCAGAGUGUGUGUAUUAGAUGCAGUGUGUAUAGUGAAUGCAGAGUGUGUGUGUUUGUGUAGUGGACGUAGUGUUUGUGUGUAUUAGAUGUGGUGUGUGUAUUGUGAAUGCAGAGUGUGUGUAUUAGAUGCAGUGUGUAUAGUGAAUGUGGAGUGUGUGUUUGUGUAGUGCAUGUAGUGUGUGUGUAUAGUGGAUGUAGUGUGUGUUUGUGUAGUGCAUGUAGUGUGUGUGUAUAGUGGAUGUAGUGUGUGUUUGUGUAGGUAUGUAAUGUGUGUAAAAUUGGGCAGAGAGCAUUUUCAUUUUUGAAAAAAAAUUUUUUUAAAUAUUUAAUUUUUUAACAUUUUAUUUUACUUCCCCCUCCCUGCUUCUUACCUGGCUGGGGAGGGUAGUGAGACCAGUGGUCCGGUGGCUUGGUACUCUGAGCCACGGGCUCUGCAGUGGGCGCCCGCCGCACACUCUCUCUUCCCUUCCCAGCAGCUUCCCUGUCUAACUCUCGUGGCCUAUGUGCCGCACAGAGCGUUG